rnacentral:rRNA from 1 species
UACGUAGGGGGCUAGCGUUGUCCGGAAUCAUUGGGCGUAAAGCGCGCGCAGGCGGCCCGGUAAGUCCGCUGUAAAAGUCAAAGGCUCAACCUUUGAAUGUCAGUGGAUACUGCCGGGCUAGAGUCCGGAAGAGGCGAGUGGAACUCCUGGUGUAGCGGUGGAAUGCGCAGAUAUCAGGAAGAACACCGACGGCGAAGGCAGCUCGCUGGGACGGUACUGACGCUGAGGCGCGAAAGCCAGGGGAGCAAACGGG